AUCCCGGAGCACCGAUCCGUCCGUGCGGCCAUGGCGUCCACGCGCCGGGGGCUGGGGCGGCGGCGGGGGAGUGGGCGGCGGUGUCCGGCGCGGGUCCGUGGCGCGUCGAGGCGGGCCCGCGCACUUGGCGUCCCACCCGGCGAGGCGGCGGCCGCCCACGGCGUGGCGGCAGGCGCGGUCGGGGGGAGGGAGGCUGGAGUGCUCGGAGGCGGCGGCGGGGCUAGGGGCGGGCGCGGCGGAGGGGGUGCAGCCGGCGGCCAACCCCCUACGCGGCGCACUCAAGAGACAGACGCGCUUGCCACCGUCGUCGCCCCGCUCAUCCCGCCCCCCGCUCACGGCCAACGUCGCCCCCUCCGACUACCGCACAUUGCGCCGAUGCCCCCGCCCGCCGCAAAUCGCGCCGCCACCCCCGCCUGCCGCACAUCACUGCCCCCCAUCCGAAGUGCCACCGCCGCGCGACUGUACUACCACGCUCGACCCGCCCGCAGGUAGUCCCACCGUGACGCCCGACGCCGCGACGCUGUCCCCGCCGCGGAUUCCCCACGGGCGCGACGCCCGACGCCACGGCGGCCUCCAUCUCCGCCGCCGAUCCCCCACACGCGGCGCGCGCGACUCCGGCCGCACCGCUGUGACUGCCAUCGUUCCCGACGGCCCGCGCGCGACUCCCGCAUCCCCCACACGUCGGCAGCAAAGGGUGAGGGCGGACGAUGAAAGCUCAUGAGAAGGCGAGGCGAGGGGAUGCAGCCCAAGAUUAGCGCGUUCUUCAAGCGGAGGAAAUGGCCCCAGAUCCGAACAGAGAAGAUGCAUUGGCACAUGUGCUACGUGGGGAGAAGCAACUUGUGAUUCCAUUCUCAUUCCUAUGAGUUUUCGCAAUGGCGAUGGCGAGGACCACGGGCUGGGAAGAGGCGGCAGCGCUGCAGCGGAGGAGAAGCGGAAGCCCAAGGGCGGCGGGCGCGGCGCGCUUGUUAGCAAGAAGAGGAGCUAUGCGUAGUUUCAUCUGGAGCUAGGGUAGCCUGAUUUCGUCCUCCACACCUGCUCUGUCUGCAGCAUGAUGUACGCCCAUGGGAACGACAAUGGCGAAAAGGUUCACAAGGCGUACCAUAAGAGAUACUUCGAGGGAGUCCCGUUCAAGGUCUUGUCGCUCACUUGCUCUCUGCAUCAUAGUCUUGUUGCGUGCAUCUUUGGAGAGCGUCUUACUAACUGAUUAGCUGCAGGGCUAGCAAAAUGAAACUGUGAUUGCAAGGUCUGUAGCGCGGAGACCGGGUAAUUCUCACGAUUGAUGAAAAACUCUCAUAUGUGGAAUAGUAAGGUACAACUAAAACUCAAUUCCUUGUGUUAAAAAUGUUAUGAGCACAACAAUUUCAUCAAUGGUACGGUCAGUUUUGGAUCGCAGCAGAAACAAGAGGUUGUGAUUGAGUUUUUGUGUGAUGAUCAUGUCAGUCCAUUAGAGUUAGGUACUGUAAUUUGGAUGCCAAGACCUUUUAGGUACAAGGAAUACAGGAUUGUCUUCAUUGAUGUUGAAAUAAUUUGAUGAAAAACUUGGACUUAGGUUAUGGUUGAUUUAAUUGGAUGCUCCUUUCCUGACCUGAUGUGCUCAAGUUUCAUCAGUUAGGUACUCUACUUAAUAGUAGCAAAUAUGACUUGUAUCAGUUUCAUAUAGUUUAUCAUGGAACCUGAUGUGCUCAGCCUGCAUACAGAGGUACAUUAUCUUUUAUUAGCAGCCAUUUUCAUGUUUAUAUAGGUUUUAGUAGCAUCAAGCAUCUCAACUACAUGAUAUUCUUAUCUGAUUCACUCAUAUUUUUUUCUCAGGAAUGAUCGGCCUAAUUUAAAGUUCACUUCUUUUUUAUACCAACAAAGAUUUGUUUCCUUAUAUUACAUUUCUGGGUAAAUGCGUAAUGCAUGUCCAUAACCUGAUGCUAUUGUGCAAGUAUUUAAGUUCAUCUUCUCAGAUUUGGGUCCAUGAUAGUUGAGACAUUUGUUCAUGUGGCCUUAUCUCUCUGCAAACUCCUCUGAGUAAUGGUUUUAGGAUGGCAUGGCCAUAGAGAAAAGCUAUCAGGUUCACAUGGAUAACAAACUCAUCUUGAAAAAAUUGAUCAGAAUUCGAGUAGGAAUCCAGGCGGGAUCACAUGCAGGAGAUGGUCACCGUUUGUUUGUUUAAGUGUGGAGAAGGUUGAUGAGUAAUGAAUCAAGAAUGACACGAAGAAAGACAUAGUGAAAAUGUAAGGCUUUCCUCUUUCUCUGCUCUUAUUAUUUCUUCUGUAUUGUGAUUUUUCGGAUAGGCCUCUAACCUGCAGGAGUAUGAGCCUUUCGAUGAGAUCAUGCAUAUUUUAUACUGGGUGGCUAUGGUCCGUCGCCCUCCCCCUCACUCCAAGAGUCCAGACAUUCGCCUCCGUCGUUGCACCAUCCCACCAAGCUCCCACCGUGCGUGGCAUGCCUCCCCACCAACCGCCGCUUUGCUGUAAACCCGCAGCCGCGCCGCCGCCCCAGUUCUGCCACGAGAUGCCGCGCCGAGUUACAGGGGAAAUGUUGUUGACUUACUCUCUCACCUCCAAUUCGGGGCAGCUUUUUUUCACGGCUUUUCCUUCAGUUUUUGUUUCCUUGUGCGCAAUUGGGAGUGUGAGAUGGGUGACCUCCCUUUAACUUUUGCAAUUUAUUUUGUAAUUUGGAACUUGGAUUCAACAGUGGUUCAGUAGGGGUAGAAACUGGUUAGUAGGAUUGGCUUGGUUUAACUCUAAUUUAGCAUGUAUCUAGCAAGUUGCAUGGUACAUCCAUUCAUUUUAGGAUAUAAACAAGGUGCAUGGUACAUCUUUUACCACCUCUGCUCCUUGCUUUGUUGGAUAAAGAUUUUUAAUUUUGUUGAACAUUUAACUUCUGAAACAGGUGUUUGCCAUGUCUCGUGUUAUGGCGGCAUGGCAGCCAAUAGGCGUAUCAAUGGGAGUUUUUGACAUGUGCCAUAGGUGUAUAUCACAUCACCAUAUCUGCUUUUAGUUUAUUCAUUCUGAUCUACGUAAGACUCCCAAUAUCUCUCAAUCUGUAGUUAUCUUUUUGAAAGAAAUAAAGAAAGAAAGCAAUUUGGAGCUCCAGUGGAAGCUUUUCAGCUCAACCAAGAAAAGCUUGUUCGGAUGCUCGGCAACAUUCAGACUAUGGUUCUCGUUGGCUGGCGACUGUGAGUCAGGCAAAAUGGCAUCAGGCCAUAGUAGUUUAGGCAAGGUUUGUAAGUUGCAAUAUAGCCAGCAAUGGUUGAACGGUUCGCUCAUCUUGAGCCCAGUGAUGUUUUCAUAAUCAGUUUUUUUUUUCCGAGGACCAGGCCAAAGUUCUAUGCAGACUAUAUCAGAAAGAAGAUUGAGGUUGCCAGAGCUAUUCGAAUCAUUUCCCCAGUGUCACCUUGAUUAUUUUAUUUAUAUAUAUGUUCGCAUCCUUUUCAUUUGUGGACAAGCAAAAUAGAUCACUGGUCAUUCUUGUGGUGAUCAUCACAUUAACGUUGACACCAUCAAUGAUCAGCUAAUCCUCUUUCA